CCCAGAGCGGUCGUGCUUCACGCCGGGGUUAACGACACCACGGUGCAGCAGACGGAGACGCUGAAGAGGGACUUCAGCAGCCUGAUCGAGACGGUUCGCAGCACGACGCCCGCGGCGACGAUCAUCGUGUCAGGACCACUGCCCACGUAUCGACGAGGACAUGAAAGGUUCAGUAGACUUUUUGCUUUAAAUGAAUGGUUGUUGUCAUGGUGUAAAGAACAGAAACUGCUAUUUGUUAAUAACUGGAAUCUUUUCUGGGAGCGUCCUAGGCUGUUUCGCGCUGAUGGAUUACACCCCAGCAGAAUCGGAGCGGAGCUGCUCUCUGACAACAUCUCCAGGACACUUCGCUCCAUGUGACUAGAUUUACACAAGCUCCAGUCUGGAUCCAGAACACCUGAGAAGAGAUGAUGCUGACCCUCAGAGGACCUCAGAUGAUGCUAACCCUGAAUCAACAAACAGAACUAACAAUUAUUGCUACAUGUGUGACUGCAUCAUAUAAUAAUAAUUAAUUAAUAAUAUUAAUAAUGUUCAUCGUCUAGCUGA